CCCUUAGUUAUCCUAGGCCGCACGCGUGUUACAAUGACUUUUUCAGCAAGUUCUCCUGGCCCGAGAGGGUGCGGGUAAUCUGAAAUCAAAGUCGUGUUAGGGAUAGAUCUUUGCAAUUAUAGAUCUUGAACGAGGAUUUUGUAGUAAGUGCGCGUCAUCACCGCGUACUGACUGCGUCCCUGCUGUUUGUACACACCGCCCGUCGCUUCUACCGAUUGAAUGUUCCGGUGAGUAAUUUGGACCCGGGGGGGCUUGCUCCUCUGGGGAAGUCUCGCAAACCUAUGCAUUUAGAGGAAGAAGAAGUCGUAACA
rnacentral:rRNA from 1 species